UACGUAGGGGGCUAGCGUUGUCCGGAAUCAUUGGGCGUAAAGAGCGUGUAGGCGGUCCGGUAAGUCCGCUGUGAAAGUCGGGGGGCUCAACCCUCGAAUGCCGGUGGAUACUGUCGGGCUAGAGUGCGGAAGAGGCGAGUGGAAUUCCUGGUGUAGCGGUGAAAUGCGCAGAUAUCAGGAAGAACACCUAUUGCGAAGGCAGCUCGCUGGGACGUUACUGACGCUGAGACGAGAACGUGGGGAGCAAACAGG
rnacentral:rRNA from 1 species